GAAGCCUUGAACUCCUUUAAAGAAAAAACAACAGAAAUCCAUUUCUCCAAAUUUAAGCCUAAUGCUGUUCCCAUUCAUAUUGGUUGUAUCAGUGUGUCUACCUACUCCAACAUCAGGUUUUUAUCUUUCCCUGCAGGAAAUAAAGUUCUGAACCGUACCUUCUGUACCUUCUGCCUAAAACCAGGAAGACAGUUUUGGACAAGUACUAUGCAUAUGCAUGGCCCAACACUUCUACCUUGCUCCCUAUCACUGCAGGAGGAUUGGGAUAAUUCUUCUGUUUGCACCAGAUCAGGUAGGACAUUGGUAACAGCAGACCUUUUACUACCACUGC
rnacentral:lncRNA from 1 species